rnacentral:rRNA from 1 species
UACGAGGGGUGCAAACGUUAUUCGGAUUUAUUGGGUGUAAAGGGUGUGUAGACGGUUUAUUAAGUUCGUUGUUAAAUCUUUCGGCUCAACCGGAAGCUUGCGGUGAAAACUGAUAGACUGGAGGAUGAAAGAGAGGAGUGGAAUUCUCGGAGUAGCGGUAAAAUGCGUAGAUCUCGAGAGGAACACCGAUGGCGAAAGCAGCUCCUUGGUUCAUUCCUGACGUUGAAACACGAAAGCGUGGGGAGCAAACAGG